GACGAACGCUGGCGGCGUGCUUAACACAUGCAAGUCGAACGGAAAGGCCCUGCUUUUGUGGGGUGCUCGAGUGGCGAACGGGUGAGUAACACGUGAGUAACCUGCCCUUGACUUUGGGAUAACUUCAGGAAACUUGGGCUAAUACCGGAUAGGAGCUCCUUCUGCAUGGUGGGGGUUGGAAAGUUUCGGCGGUUGGGGAUGGACUCGCGGCUUAUCAGCUUGUUGGUGGGGUAGUGGCUUACCAAGGCUUUGACGGGUAGCCGGCCUGAGAGGGUGACCGGCCACAUUGGGACUGAGAUACGGCCCAGACUCCUACGGGAGGCAGCAGUGGGGAAUAUUGCACAAUGGGCGGAAGCCUGAUGCAGCAACGCCGCGUGCGGGAUGACGGCCUUCGGGUUGUAAACCGCCUUCGCCUGUGACGAAGCGUGAGUGACGGUAAUGGGUAAAGAAGCACCGGCUAACUACGUG
rnacentral:rRNA from 1 species